UACAGAGGGUGCAAGCGUUAAUCGGAAUGACUGGGCGUAAAGGGCACGUAGGCGGAUAGAUGUGUCAUAGGUGAAAUCCCCGGGCUUAACCUGGGAACUGCCUGUGAAACUGUGUAUCUAGAAUAUAGGAGAGGGAAGUGGAAUUUCCGGUGUAGCGGUGAAAUGCGUAGAUAUCGGAAAGAACACCAGUGGCGAAGGCGGCUUCCUGGACCUGUUCUGACGCUGAGGAGCGAAAGCGUGGGGAGCGAUCCGG
rnacentral:rRNA from 1 species